UACAGAGGUCUCAAGCGUUGUUCGGAUUCAUUGGGCGUAAAGGGGUGCGUAGGCGGCGCGGUAAGUCGGGUGUGAAAUCUCGGGGCUUAACUCCGAAACUGCAUUCGAUACUGCCGUGCUUGAGGACUGGAGAGGAGACUGGAAUUUACGGUGUAGCGGUGAAAUGCGUAGAUAUCGAUAAGGAACACCAGUGGCGAAGGCGGCUCACUGGACCGGAACUGACGCUGAGGCGCGAAAGCGUGGGGAGCAAACGGG
rnacentral:rRNA from 1 species